GCGAAAUUGUCGCUACUGUGAUCAAGAGUUGGGCAUUAGCCAUAUAUUCUUACAGUACCACAAACAUGCGGAAAGUGGCCACCACGUUAGCUAAUACAGGCGUAUGGGCCAGAUAGUUCUGGUUCUCGCUCUCUGUCACACACGCACACACACUGAGCUAACGUUAGCUAGCAUGUUAAGCUAGCCGGCCAGACAGCCGCAAACCCAAGUAAAGUAUCUACCGAUAAACGUUAGAACACCAUCGACUGCGGCGGUAGCUGCUCCGCCGGGCGCUGCCCAGUUGCUAAUGGUAACUUCAGUAGCAGGGACAGGACUGUGGGGAGGCCAGAGACGCUACAGAGGAGGGAGAUGUGUCACCGGCGGAGAACCAAGAGAGGGACACAGAGACGCUACAGAGGAGGGAGAUGUGUCACCGGCGGAGAACCAAGAGAGGGACACAGAGACGCUACAGAGGAGGGAGAUGUGUCACCGGCGGAGAACCAAAUCAUGUACAUAAAGACGUCUCCAGCUAGACUCGGCGUUAGCAUGUAAACAUAAAGUUGUUCCUGUGAAACAAGUUAUUGGCAAUUAAAAAGUUAAUAGAAAAUAAUUGAACUUGUGUAACUUGGUGUGCUGCUGGAGCAAGUGCAUUCUGUGACCGGACACCAUGUUUUCCCAUGAUUCAGUAUGAUAGCCGUACUGACCUCCUUUGAAAAAGUAACUUCAUGUAAACAUUUUUCUUUUUAGUUUACGGUAUUUGUACAAAUUAACAUUUUAAGUAUUGAGAUGUACAAUUGCUAAGGUUACACAAAAAAUAAAUUCAAACAGGCCUG